CGGACAGAGGCCCGCUGGAUAGGGUGUUUAGCUGUUAACUAAAAGUUUACGGGAUCGAGGCCCGUCUGUCUGG
rnacentral:tRNA from 1 species